rnacentral:rRNA from 1 species
UGGGGAAUAUUGCACAAUGGGCGCAAGCCUGAUGCAGCCAUGCCGCGUGUAUGAAGAAGGCCUUCGGGUUGUAAAGUACUUUCGGCGAGGAGGAAGGCGUUGUGGUUAAUAACCGCAACGAUUGACGUUACUCGCAGAAGAAGCACCGGCUAACUCCGUGCCAGCAGCCGCGGUAAUACGGAGGGUGCAAGCGUUAAUCGGAAUUACUGGGCGUAAAGCGCACGCAGGCGGUCUGUCAAGUCGGAUGUGAAAUCCCCGGGCUCAACCUGGGAACUGCAUCCGAAACUGGCAGGCUAGAGUCUUGUAGAGGGGGGUAGAAUUCCAGGUGUAGCGGUGAAAUGCGUAGAGAUCUGGAGGAAUACCGGUGGCGAAGGCGGCCCCCUGGACAAAGACUGACGCUCAGGUGCGAAAGCGUGGGGAGCAAACA